rnacentral:rRNA from 1 species
AUGCACGCUGGCGGCGUGCCUAAUACAUGCAAGUCGAGCGAACGGACGAGAAGCUUGCUUCUCUGAUGUUAGCGGCGGACGGGUGAGUAACACGUGGAUAACCUACCUAUAAGACUGGGAUAACUUCGGGAAACCGGAGCUAAUACCGGAUAAUAUUUUGAACCGCAUGAUUCAAAAGUGAAAGACGGUCUUGCUGUCACUUAUAGAUGGAUCCGCGCUGCAUUAGCUAGUUGGUAAGGUAACGGCUUACCAAGGCAACGAUGCAUAGCCGACCUGAGAGGGUGAUCGGCCACACUGGAACUGAGACACGGUCCAGACUCCUACGGGAGGCAGCAGUAGGGAAUCUUCCGCAAUGGGCGAAAGCCUGACGGAGCAACGCCGCGUGAGUGAUGAAGGUCUUCGGAUCGUAAAACUCUGUUAUUAGGGAAGAACAUAUGUGUAAGUAACUGUGCACAUCUUGACGGUACCUAAUCAGAAAGCCACGGCUAACUACGUG